rnacentral:rRNA from 1 species
GACAGAGGGUGCAAACGUUGUUCGGAGUUACUGGGCGUAAAGCGUGUGUAGGUGGCUGCGUAAGUCGGAUGUGAAAGCCCUGGGCUCAACUCAGGAAGUGCACUCGAUACUGCGUAGCUCGAGUACCGGAGAGGUUGGUAGAAUUCUCGGUGUAGAGGUGAAAUUCGUAGAUAUCGAGAGGAAUACCUGUGGCGAAGGCGGCCAACUGGACGAGUACUGACACUGAGGCACGAAAGCGUGGGAUCGAACAGG